GCUAUAGAGCGGUCAAAAUCCCCAAUGCUUGGUUGGAAGCAAGGUGCGUAGCCUCUUCAGCAGUAGGAGUUGGAGUAAUAGGUUCUGAAAGAAGGGAACAAGAGUGAGACUUUCUUCCCACUCCCAUACUCCUCUAAGAGUCUCUCUCCUUUAAUCAAUUACAUCAAACCAAAGGCUAUAUACUCAAAUGGAGUGAGUUCUGGCGUUCAGGUAAUCCUCUCGUGGAGCACUUUACCAGUUGAUCAACCAGAUUUGGGCUUUAUGUGUAAAAAAGAGAAGUUCUCACCAACAGCAGAAAGAUACCAAGCAGCAGAUACGGGUUUAGCGAGAACAGCUAGCUUUAUCGGAAGGAGCUGAAUCCACAUCUGCUAUAGCUAAAAUACCUGUUUCUAACCCAUGUGGUUUUACUUAACUUGAGGCCAAAAUGCUUAAUUUGAGCAUCUUUGUUUAGAGAGUUGGGUAUUUGAGUUAAGCAUAUAACUAAAAGGAUGCCAACCCUGAUUUGCUUGUUUCCCUUGUUUCUGAGCCCAAAGCCCUUGCUUCGGGUUGGGUUUGGCUCUCUAGAUAGGGGUACAUUAGACAUCAAAGUUUUAUAGCAAAAAUCUUACUUUCUGACCCCACCUGUACUUUGCCCAAUUGGAAGAGGAAAGCACUUUCCUACUCUGGUUGAAAAGAUUUGGUUGAGAAGCCUAUCUAGGCAAGGUAAAGAACUAGACUUCUGCACUGAACCUCAAAGACUCAAUUACCGUAUAAGAUAUGGCCAAAGAACAUCAAUUACCCUUUAAGUAAGAUAUGGCCUUUUCGAACUAUCUCAUUAGCUUACCUAGAGUAGCCCUAUUUCUGUAAGUAGCGAAUGAACAAUAUUUAGUGGGAUAAAGGUAAUCUUUAUUAGCGAAUCAAUAGCCAAAGGUACAGCUUGCAUGAAGAAGGCCCUUCGUUCCUCAAUUUGAUCUGGUCUAGCAUAGGAUAGAGCUCUUACUGUACCAAUUUUUCAUUCCUAUUCUAUUAACCUAACGUAACCCCUUAGCGGCUAAAAAGAAAAAGGGAGAUUCCUGAGUUAAAACGUUUUUCCAUUACUACCUUCGGGGUCUCAGUCCUUCUUCGUUGAAGGUUUAUUACCCAGGGAAAUUCCUUCUUGUUUCAACUUUAGGUUCUGGAAUAACUAGCCCAACCCAUAGACCAUCACAGAUGGAAUAACGACUGAUCCCUAUACCUAAUAAAAGGAUAGAAAGAAUUAAUCGUUCUA
rnacentral:lncRNA from 1 species